rnacentral:rRNA from 1 species
AAUAUUGCACAAUGGAGGGAACUCUGAUGCAGCAACGCCGCGUGAGUGAAGAAGGUUUUCGGAUCGUAAAACUCUGUCAUUGGGGAAGAAUAAAUGACGGUACCCAAUGAGGAAGCCCCGGCUAACUACGUGCCAGCAGCCGCGGUAAUACGUAGGGGGCAAGCGUUGUCCGGAAUUAUUGGGCGUAAAGGGUGCGUAGGCGGCCUUUUAAGUCAGGUGUGAAAGCCCACGGCUUAACCGUGGGAUUGCAUUUGAAACUGGAAGGCUUGAGUGCAGGAGAGGAAAGUGGAAUUCCUAGUGUAGCGGUGAAAUGCGUAGAGAUUAGGAGGAACACCAGUGGCGAAGGCGACUUUCUGGACUGUAACUGACGCUGAGGUACGAAAGCGUGGGUAGCGAACA